AUGGCCGAGCUGCUGUUCGCCCCCGCCGUGGCCGGCCUCGUCCACCUGCCGGAGGUGCUCGAGCGCCUCGCCGCUGCGGACGCCGACCACCGCGACCACGCCCACCACCACACCGCCCACGGGCACGGGCACGGCCACCCCCGCGCGCAGAUCGGGGGCGUGGGCGGCGGCGCGCCCGUGGACAUCGUGGAGACCCCCGCCGAGUACGCCUUCCUGCUCGACGUCCCCGGCCUCUCCAAGUCCGACAUCCAGGUGACUCUGGAGGAGGACAACGUGCUGGUGAUGAAGAGCGCCAGCAACGGCGGCGGCGGCGCCAACGGGAAACGGAAGCGGGAGGAGGAGGAGGCGGACUGCCGCUACAUCCGGCUGGAGCGCCGCGCGUCGCCGCGGUCGUUCGUGCGCAAGUUCCGGCUGCCGGAGGACGCGGAUGCGGGCGCCGUGGCCGCGCGCUGCGAGAACGGCGUGCUCACCGUCACCGUCAAGAAGCAGCCGCCGCCGGAGAAGAAGACCAAGUCCGUCCAGGUCGCCAUCGCCUGA
rnacentral:rRNA from 1 species